GAUUAAUGCUAGCGGCGUGCCUUAUGCAUGCAAGUCGAACGGUUCUGAUUUAUCAGGAUAGUGGCAAACGGGUGAGUAACACGUAAGCAACCUGCCCUUAAGUAAGGAAUAAUCCCUCGAAAGAGGGACUAAUACCAUAUGUCGUGCCCCUUCGCAUGGAGGGUCACAAAAGCCUUCGGGCGCUUUUGGAGGGGCUUGCGUCCGAUUAGCUAGUUGGUGGGGUAACGGCCUACCAAGGCGAUGAUCGGUCGCUGGUUUGAGAGAAUGACCAGCCACACUGGGACUGAGACACGGCCCAGACUCCUACGGGUGGCAG
rnacentral:rRNA from 1 species